UACGGGGGGAGCAAGCGUUGUUCGGAUUUACUGGGCGUAAAGGGCGCGUAGGCGGUCGUGACAAGUCACUUGUGAAAUCUCCGGGCUUAACUCGGAACGGUCAAGUGAUACUGUCGGACUAGAGUACAGAAGGGGCAACUGGAAUUCUCGGUGUAGCGGUGAAAUGCGUAGAUAUCGAGAGGAACACCGAUGGCGAAGGCAGCUCGCUGGGACGGUACUGACGCUGAGACGCGAAAGCGUGGGGAGCAAACAGG
rnacentral:rRNA from 1 species